GGACGAGCCCUUGGAGAGACUCAAAACUUUUGAGCACCGAAGGAGCAAGACAGAAAUGUUGAAACUCUCAGGUAAAAGGACAGGGGAUUAAAU
rfam:Clostridium sp. CAG:221 genomic scaffold, scf32